GCGUCUGUAGCUCAGUGGAUAGAGCGCCGGACUACGAAUCCGUAGGCCGCAGGUUCGACUCCUGCCAGACGCG
rnacentral:tRNA from 1 species